rnacentral:rRNA from 1 species
UACAUGGGGUGCAAACGUUGCUCGGAAUCAUUGGGCGUAAAGCGCGCGUAGGCGGUUACUUAAGUCGAAUGUGAAAGCCCUCGGCUUAACCGAGGAAGUGCAUCCGAAACUGAGUAGCUAGAGUACGAAAGAGGGUCGCGGAAUUCCGGGUGUAGCGGUGAAAUGCGUAGAUAUCCGGAGGAACACCGGUGGCGAAGGCGGCUUCCUGGACCGACACUGACGCUGAGGCGCGAAAGCCAGGGGAGCAAACGGG